CUCUUCCUGCCUCAGCUUCCCCAGUCUCUGGAAUUACAGAUGUGCACUGUGCUCGGAUAGGGAAUGUCAUUUUAAAUAUCUUGCCCACAGAAGUGCUCACGGAGAAGGUGGCAUUUAAAAGACCUUUUUAGGGCUGGAGUGUAGCUGCGUGGUAGAGCUCUUGUCUAGCAUGCAGGACGCCCUGGCAGAAGGACAGUUCACAGCCUAGAUCCACCACCAGCAUUCAGCAACUGGUCGUGUUUUGCCACAUCUGCUGCUUCUCACAUUUCCGUGCUUGAUGAGCCAUUUAGAAUUCAUUUCAGACACCCAUGGAGACUUCCCUUCCUGUCCUUUAGUGGCGAAGGCAUUCUUAUCAUUGUACCUCUCUACUACAUCUAAUUAACAAUAAUUCCGAAUAUCUCCCAGUUCUCUGUUGGAAGAGGCAUUUGGCCAGACAUGCGAAGCCGGUGAGAGGUGGGCCAUGUGAGUACCUGGCAGAAGAACAUGCCAGCAGAGGGGACAGCCACUGCAAAGGCCCUAGGCUGAGUUUUUAUCUCCCAGGAACUGAGAGGAGGACGAUGUGGCUGGACUGAAGUGAAUGAGCCAGGAGGACAAGUCAGAUACGAGGGCAGAGAGGAAGGAGCCAGAUACUGCAGAGCCUUGUGGCCCUCGGUGAUCCCGUUGGCUUCUCUGCGUCCGCAGGUGCCCCUGGAAUUCGCGGGCCCAGGGCGCACCUGACCUGCGGUGAUUCACGGAAGACACUUCACGUCGCUUCCCUUCCUCCGGUGGAUCGAUCUGUGGAUGAACUGUGGCCCUCAGGCCACCCCUCCCUGGAGAGCAGGAGCAAGGCAGUGACGUUCACCCCCGGGAUCUGGUGACAGAGAUGGCCUGGAGAUGCACACCGCCACCCCCCACCUUUACAGAUUUACAGGGUGAGUGGAGGAGGUCUGGGGACCUCUAUGGAAAGAGUUUGGUCUUUAAAAUGACAUCAGCUUAAAUCAUGAUGAGAAAUGCAAAACACAAUGUAUUUGGCAAGAUCAGUGUGCAGUCAGGGGCGGAGCCGGCAGGGUUGUCCACGCCCUGCACACUCCAGGAAGGGCUGGCCUUCAAGCCUCGGGUUGUCCUGUCUGAUAAGUGUCUUGGGCUACCUGGGCCGUGCCAGAUGGUCUCUGCUAAAGCUGAUUUACCUGGGGCUUCCGGCCAGGCUGUAUCUGUGGGACCCCUUGAGCAUCUGAGGUCGGUGGUGGGGACAGUUGGCCGUGGCCUGCCUGACCAGACGCAAACUCCUGGGUGGGCUUCCCUGGUCUGUGUACUCUCUGCGUCGUCACAGGGGGUUGCUGGGAGGCAGAAACCGUCUGUGGGACUCCACUGGGACUGGACACUGGAGCGCCCCCUGGACUCUGCCACAAUGCCUCUUCCCUUGGCUGAUUUUGAUCUGUGUCUUUUCACCAUGAUCAACUGAAGCUAUGCAUGUAACGCUUCUCUGAGUUCUGUGAGUCCUAAGGUACCGAUGUAAUGCCAGAUUCGUGGGACCCCAACAGACCUCCAGGAGCCGAAUCCGAUGCAGUUUCACACAAGAGUCUGUAUUGCAAGAUGGAUCCUGGACUCACAACCGUUUCCAGUGCAGCGGUCCCAGGGAGUGAGUCCCGGUCCUUUGUUCAGUGAGAUUUGAUAGGUUUUGGGGGAUUCUCUAUGCGUCACAACAUCACACAGCAAAUCAUUUCACACCUCGGGAAAGUCCAACAAGAACUCUCAACACUGAUAGCACAUUCACUGGCGGGAACAAGUUGGGAAGGGGUGAUUGGCGAGUUCAAGAGGUGGAUAUAUUUGAAUUGAUUGGUUUAGGCUCGAGGGGUGCAAGAGUGUAUACACUAAACUGCAGGGUGGCCUAACCGUGUUAGCAAUCACUGAAACUACUGGGAGGGUCACCCGACAUUUCAGAUAUUUUCCCUGUCUCAUGCUGAUUGGUGGUUGCUAGGGGGUUGCUAUGGAGCCUCACCUAGCAGUAAUCGAGUCGGGGACACCGGGCACUGCAGAUCCCUGUUAUCAUUUACAGACAAACAACUCAGCAGGGUGGGUAUGUGCUUUGGAGUGCUCUUUGGGUUUUUUCCAAGGAUAAGGGUCAUGCCCCCCUCCCUCUGGACGGGCCUUGAGGUAGAAGCUGGUUUCUCAAAAAUGGAGUCACAUCAGUUUCUUACCAUCACACCCGAGGAUGGGAGGGACUGGGAACAUCUGUGGAAGACUUGGUGACAGAUAUACGGACAUCCCCUUGAAUUAGAAUAAGAAAAAGGGAGCACAGUAUAUUAAGGAAGAUAUUAAAUAUUGGUAUGUAUAAAAUGAACAAUGAGCCGGGCGUGGUGACGCCUGCGUAUAAUCCCAGUGGCUCAGGAGG